UGAAGCAUGUAAAAAGCUGAAUGAGCUCAAACAGGAUCCCACUGAGGAGAAGUCAACUGUGCCACAGGUCUUCAAAAAGAUUUGGGUGAUGGCUUUAUGUGUGACGUGUGUUUGCCGUCACACUGUCCGUUUUUCCAGCAAUUACUAUAAAUACAAAACCUUCUGGCUUAUUUGACGGGAAAGAUAACAUCUUCGUACCUUUGUGUUCAUUCAUUGUCUUCAAUGUGAUGGACUGGAUUGGCAGAAGUCUAACU